rnacentral:misc_RNA from 1 species
UUUCCGUAGGUGAACCUGCGGAAGGAUCAUUAUUGAAUAAACCUGAUGUGGCUGUUAGCUGGCUUUUCGAAGCAUGUGCUCGUCCGUCAUCUUUAUCUCUCCACCUGUGCACAUUUUGUAGUCUUGGAUACCUCUCGAGGCAACUCGGAUUUUAGGGUCGCUGUGCUGUACAAGUCGGCUUUCCUUCCAUCUCCAAGACUAUGUUUUUAUAUACACCAAAGUAUGUUUAAAGAAUGUCAUCAAUAGGAACUUGUUUCCUAUAUAAUUAUACAACUUUCAGCAACGGAUCUCUUGGCUCUC